CUGCUUCUCAGUCAGUCUGUUUCCAGCCUGCGGUGUUUCAAUGGGCUCUUGCUUCUUGGGGACAGGACUUUGCAUUUGUCCUUACUGAAUUUCACAAGAAGAGUGAAAGAUCUACUUCAGUAAAAUAUUCAAGAAGUGUUUUGUGAAUGCACGAAAUGGAUCCCUGUGGAGAUGGAGAAUGAGAUGAAGAGAAAUCAGAAAGACUGAUUAUGCUGAAACCAGUGCUACAAAAGAGGAUGCUUGAAAGGACAAGUGUGUUUCUCAGCCACUUGUCCUUCAAACAACAUGAUUGUCCUUGUAUGUAUCUGCUUCAUCCAGUUUAUCAGCAUCUCUCUUGAUAAACAUGUAUUUCCACAGUCAUUCAGUGAGUCAACAUGUUUGGAAACAAAACGCAGCAUUCCUUCUUGUUCAAAUGAAACAAAGAUUCAGGAAUUACUUACUAUACCUGACUUUUGUGUCUCAUCCAAAUUGAAGAUGCUAAGCACUCCUGGCACUGAAAACAAACAAAAAUCUGCACAGUUAAGGCAGAGAGUGGGAAUUGAAACUGGAAAAUCUGGAUGGUGAGAAAAUUAACAGGAACAACAAAAUGUAUUAGAUCAUGAUAAAAUUAUUUGUCUCACAGCCAUAAACAAUGUAAAGGGGAUUUAAUAAUUGUUUUGUCAAGAAGACCUUGUUGUAGACAAAGACUCAUGCAAUAACUGUUGUAAAGGUACACCACAAAACAAGAAAGCAUUCUCUGACUGCAGCAGAGUUACAAAUGUACAUGUAAAUGCGUAUGCAAUCCGAGAAACUGAUUGCAACUAUCAAUAGGGAUUUCUGUGAACAUCUGAUCACACGUGCAGUGUAACAAAUACAUUGGGCACAGAUAGUAAGUAGAGAGUCCAAACUCUAACUCAUAGAAUGAAAAACUCAUCUUGUCACCAAAAGAUAGGUUUAAUUUUUUUCCUUAUUUCCUUGUUUCCUUUUUUUUUUUUUUUUUUUUUUUUUUUUUUAGAAGUGAAGCCAAACAGUUUCAGGAGGAGCAGAACUAACAUAUCCAGAUUUCAUAUGGAUUUUUUUCAUAUGGAUCCCAUCCCUUAUGUUUUCUUCCUUGUCUCCACUGCUACCCUGUAUGUUUUGCUGAGUUAAAACAGCAGCACAUAUGUAUAGUUAGAAAAUAAUCAUAAUGUGCUGACUUACUGGCUGAGUGUUACCACUUGAUUACAUAAGAGCCCGAGUUAUAAGUUUUUAUUUAAUGAUCUACUCAGCCAAGUAUUAAUACAACUUGUAAGAAUUUAAUUUAAGGCAAUCCCUUGUGUCAGACUCAAUUGAAUAUGGUUAAUAUAUUUAAAAGUUGGAGGGGAGAACAGUGCUGCACCAGAAAGUCAAUCUGACUGAGGCAACAGAGCAUCUUACAAGCACCACAGGGAAGUGUACUCUUCCUCAUUAAAACUGCAGCAUAAGGUCUCUGAGGAAUGGGAUAUUCUGUUAUGUUUCAUUGCUGGGUAGCAGAGGAGUGGUCUGACAAAAUGGCGUCUUACAUGGAAGUUUGUAUAAAGCAAAGGUGUGUCACUGAAUUCCUUUGUGUGGAAAAAAUGGCACCUCCUGACAUUCAUCAACACUUGCUGAAGGUUUAUGGAGACCUAACAGUGGAUGUGAGCACAGUGAAGUGGUGUGUUUCAGCAGUGUUGACAGUGAUGCGAAAGAACAGCUCAUUCAGCUAUAGGCUAGAUCACUUAAGCUCUCUUGGGCUUCACGAUUGAAAUGUAUGUAUUCUUGUAAUAGAGAAUAGAUUGGAAAACCAGAGUAACCUCCAGUUUAUAAUGGUUUGUGCAUUCUUUGUAAUUGUGGAUUUGAAACAAAAAACUGUGCUCCCCUCAAUCCUCCCCAGCUAAAGAGCUUCUCUGUAAGAAAUAGUGUAUAUGCUCUAAGUCUGUUUUCAUAACAGAUUUGAAUCUCUUAUGUUUCUAUAAUAUUCAGUUUAUUCAAAUUAUCCUUCAUUUGAAUAAUGCUUUAUAAUUUGUUGUAGAUGUAACGCAAGCUGCCUAUGAAAAUUUCAAACUAACUUUGUUUUUCAGAGUCACUCUUUGACUUUUUUUGUUCUUUUUUUUUUAAAUUAUUUUUCUUAAUACAUCUUAUUCUGAUUUUCUUGGCUUAGUUUUUAUUUCUUUGUUUUCUGUUGUUACAAUUUAAGCAUUUUGUCCAGUCUUUGUGAAAGCAGUGUAAUCAAUUCAGUAUAGCAUUAAAAUAAUUCAGUGUAUAAUUAACUUCAGGUUUUUCAAUACUUUCUUUUGAUAUGAUGUACAAAGUUAUUUCCCUUAUGAAUUUCAAUAAGUUAAAGCUCUUCAGUGCUUAAUGAAACAUUAAAGAAAAAAUGGUGUAUCACACUAGCAGUAUUUUCUACCAUCUCCAUCUUUAAAACAAGUGGCAAAUCCAUGCAUGUAACUUCUGCAUUUCCUAACUAUGUUUAUGGAGUAUAAGGAAUAAAUACAAACACCAUCUAACUGCUUUAAUGUUUACUAGUUGAUGGUUGUUCCUUGAAUAAAUAUUGAGCAGUACUAUUCAUUCAAUAAUAAAUAUUCAAAAUAUUGAGCAGUAUUCUUUCUUAGAAUUUUAUUAAUUUCCUUUUAAAUACCCAUAUUCUUUUAAAUUUUAAUGCCCAGAAUCAUAGAACCAUAGAAUGUCCUAGACUGAAAGGGACCCAUAAGGAUCAUAGUCCAGCUCCUCCUGUUUCAUAUCAUUUUAAAAAGGCAAGAUAUUAAAAUUACAUUCACCACAUGCUCAGUGUGUUCUCCGGUUGUUUAUCUGUUUUCCUUCUUAAAUAUCCAGUUUCUGGAUUUAAAACAAAACAAAACCCAAAUCUACAGGUGUUAUAAACAAAACAAGAAGUAGAUUAAAACAUGAGUUAUUUGAAGUGUGUGAAUAACUUCAGUUGUGGUUUUUUGUGAUAUGAGAUAUGUAAAGGACCUUUCCUUACUUUCCAUAACCCCAUAAUGUUUCAAGGGUGCAGGAAUGUCAGAAAGUAGCAAAAAGGAGGAACGAAAUGCAGAACUCAGCUUACAAGAAGGCAGGUGGCUUAUAUUAAUUGCUUUGCUGGAAAGAUUUUGAAUGUCCUUCCUACAUAGCAUAAUUCUUGUAAAACCUUAUUUUUUGCAUCUUGUGUCUUCUUCCUGAGACGUUUUCCUCAGUGCUCUAGCACAACUCAAGUCAUGGAUGUUUUUCACAUUAAAAAAAAAAAUCUAUAAGUUAAAAAAGAAAAAAGAAAAAAAGAAAAAAAAGUAGAAUGUGAGAAAGUACACAGUAGAUGGAGAAUAUUUUCAAUUCAAGUUGAUAUGAACUCCAAAAAUUCCAAUGCAACUUCUGAAAUUCCCUGGAAAAACUGUUCUUUCAUGCUUCCCCUCCUUUUUUUUUUUUUUUUUUUUUUAAUUUUAUUCUUGCAUUGUCUUGUAAAUCCAAGCUUCUUCUAUACAGCUACAUUUGAUAAGAGAGUAGGUCCAUUCUUUUGGCACAGGAGAAGAUUAAUUUUUUCAUUGCCUAAGGCGAGACUCCUGCCUUCAGUUUUAAUCCUUCAUAAUCCCCUCACCACCUCUGUGCAAAAGUGCACAGAAUAAUUUAGAUAUGUUUUCAGGCUCAGAAAGGCUGAAAGUAGAUUUGGGAUUUAAUUUAAUUUUUCCUCACAACUUUGUUCUGAAAGCACAAAUCAUAAUUAAUUGACUUGUGUGAGCAAACUUGGCACCAAACGGUUAGCAAGGACAAUCCUUUCUACAAAAGCUAGGAGUUAAAAAAGUGUAAACUACAAAAUAAUACAAGGCUCAUGAUUUUUGAACAUGGUUAACAAUGGUUGAAUUUUGUUUUACUGAACUCCACAAAAAUUGCACCAUUGACUGGUAGGAAAGUUAGGCUAAAAUAACAUCCAAGCAGCACUAGAUUCUUCAUGAGAUCUUGUUUUAGUUGUGGCAGGGAUAUCCUUGUUUUAGCCAAAGGUAAAAGAUAAGUAAGAUCUUGUACACACUAUCAACUUUUUAUUUAAGGUUUUGAUCUUAGAUUUCUUACUAGGUGUAUUUGUGAAAGACACUUAUGUGUCUAGAGUGAAAUGCAGCGUUUGGCUUGGUGGCUACCAUGGAAAGGUGCACCAUCGUGAACAAAGCGAGAGAGUAGUCAUGAAGUACCUUAAAGGAGGAAUGAGAUUGCAGAGGAUAUAACUAAAGAUCAAGUUAUCAUAUAUCAUAUAUAUCAUGCCUCUGGAAACCGAAGAUGAGAAGAUAACCUGGAGUGCACAGUCCAGAAGAAUUAUGGUAGGUUCACUCAUGAGUGAAUCAGUAGAGAAUACACCUAGAAGAUGACUUCUUAUACCAGUAUUUUGAAUGAACCCUAAGAAAAGGAGAUUAAAGCAGACAGCAUGCAAAGAAUAAGUAGUUAGUAAGAAUGAGAUUAAUUUUGAACUGUUUUCUGUCAAAAGUUGCACAUCUAAUUUAGUUUUCCUGGCUCCCUCAAUGUGCAGUGCAGCUCUCUGGAGUAAUUCAUCCUAUGUUUUUUAAACACCUCUUUUAAAAUGGAGUCUUUUGUCCUUUGGAAGCGCCUGUUCCUCUUUCUCCACAAAGAAGGAAACUUCAGUGGUGAUCAUAAAUGAUCUUCUUAGCCUGUGGGCAGCUGGAAAUAGGAAUUUCUCAUCCUAUAGAAGAUACAUGAACUGAAGGAGUUCCCCUGCCUCCACCCUCCCCCCCAGAAAAGAAAAGAAAAGAAAAGAAAAGAAAAGAAAAGAAAAGAAAAGAAAAGAAAAGAAAAGAAAAGAAAAGAAAAGAAAGAAAAGAAAAAAAAAACAGAGAUGAGACUAUUUGUGAGAUUAGUGACUUUGCAAAAAAAUAAAAAAAUAAAAAAAUAAAAAAAAACCACUGAGUUUGACGUUAUCCAACACAUAUUUUCCUGCUCAUACAAGCAUCAGUUUUUUCUGGCAGAAGGUGAAGUUUAAAUUGUAACCCCCAAGAGAGAGCCAUCUGCAGCAUAACCAGCAGCAAACUGCUUCCACUGGUGCUUCAUUGGCAUCUGGAAGGAUUAGGCAUCCUUGCUUCAGUUAGCUAGAAUUCAAGAACUAAUCUUUAUGUAUUUUUAAGUAGCUAAGAUCUUGCUGGUGUUCCUGAGAGAUUUUGUCAGUGGAAACGACUAUUUACUGAUUUCAUGCAAAUCACCUGACUCUAAGAUGCUCUCUCAAAGCAAAUCCCUAGAGACCAUAGAAAUUGAAAGUAAUACACAUAAUUCUCAGUUUUUAUGCAAUUCAGUGUACUUUUUCCUAUGAAUUAUGAAAACGGAACUGUAACUAAAGCUUAGAUAAGUACAAAUAUGGUUAGUGAAACAAGUUUUUCUCGAUCUGCAUUUCCUCUAAUGUUGUUUAUUAUAUUUGUCUUUUAGAGAAAAUUUCAUCCUCUGGGCCUUCUUAAGUCUCUAGAGUUCUCUGUCCUGGAGCUUAAAACUGCAUUCAUCUUAGAGGGUUGUUUCCUCCCCCUCCCCCCCUUCAAAUGACAGUUGUUCUUCUCUAAUUUUAAAGUAGGGUGUUUUUUUUGUUUGUUUGUUUGUUUUUUUUAUGUUGUUAUCAUACUGAAUAACAGAAGAUUAGACUGUGCCACAGCUAAUUUCUGUUCAAUGUGCACAAUUGUAUUCAUGAGAAAACACACUGAGAAACUUCUGAAAAAAAAAAAGAGGGGUGGAAGGAAGUUUUUCUUGCUGAUGUUCUGGAAAGAAAUGUCCUGUUGUAGUGCUUCUUAUAUAUCUGACUGUCUUUAUGUGCAGAGGCAAGAACAGAGCUACUCUUACUUUUUAUCUGGGGCAUUUGUGAAGAAAGACAUGGUGGGGGGGAUUUCUUAACUUCAAGCCUUCAUUUUUAGUUGUCAACUGGGACAACUAAAUAUUAAUGCAUAAUAAAAUGAUGUUCUAAUUAUUAUGUUGAACUUUCACAUUUUUUGAAGAGUCUGUUCCAGCCCUUUCCCUUUUAAUCAGUACCCAACCUGUCACAGGAUACUGCUGUUUUCCCUCAAGGAUGACAUGCUUCAUUUUAUAAAGGAGGUGUUUUUAGAAAAUGUGUCUUUCAGACCUUAGCAGUCCUGACCUCCAGUUCUCAGAUCCCUUGUGUAUUCCUGUCUAAAUGUACUACAUUCCGUAUUAUUGGGAAUUUUUAUCCUGUGAGCAAUGCCUGUGUUAAAAUGCAUGAUCUCAUAAGAAAGUAAAUGACAAUUAAGUUUAGUUCAAGUCAAUUGCAAAUCUUAUCCUGAUGGGUUUGCAGAUGCUAAAGCAGAGGUCAUUCUAUGUUUGGGAACACGGACUAGGAAUUAAAUGCUAGCAUUCAUAAAAAUGCUUGAAAGUGGUUUCAUAUUAAAUACUUAUCAGUUCAUAUGCUAUACUCUAUCAGAAUAAGUGUUGUAUAAAAAACAGUCACAGACAUUAAAUAUUUGCUAUUUAAUGCAGAG
ensembl:lncRNA